GGUGUGGCCUGGAGCUUGACCGAGAGCAGCUCGAUGGGAGUAACAUGCAUUUUCUUGACAUGGGUGUACAGGUGGAGAGGUGCGGGUUGAAGGCUGCGGUAUUUCGUGGGCCUUCCUACCAGCCGGUCCUGGUGCCGUAUUGGUCCCCUGACCCUGCAUCGUGUAAAGCAGCUGCAUUCCGCUUCUAUUUUGAACGAGCAUACGAGUGCACCACAGACGGCGGUCGGUUGCAGGACGAACUUGGGUGCAUCUAUGCCACCGGAUGUGCACACGGAUGCGGUAAGCACUGCAUUGAUGGAGUUCACCGCCGGGUGCGAGCGGCCAACCGGCCUAAGCGG
rnacentral:lncRNA from 1 species